CCAGUCGGCUGGGCGACCGCUCCCGUCAUACGUCGAAAGACGGCGGGGGAGGAAAGUCCGGGCUCCACGGAGAAGCGGUGCCGGAUAACGUCCGGCGGGGGCGACCCCAGGGAAAGUGCCACAGAAAACAGACCGCCCCGCCUAUAGUGCGGCUCGACCGGCGCGAGUGCCUCGGCAGCGGAGCCGCACUAUUGGCGGGGUAAGGGUGAAACGGUGGGGUAAGAGCCCACCGCGCUUCUGGCAACAGCGGCGGCACGGCAAACCCCACCGGGAGCAAGACCGAAUAGGGACGACGCGGCGGUUCGCCUUCGGGUGACAUCGCCAGCCCUUCUCCGGGCCGGUCGUCCGGGUGGGUUGCUCGAGGCGGUUCGCAAGGACCGUCCCAGAGGAAUGGUCGCCGAGCGGCUUUGCCGCUUACAGAACCCGGCUUACAGGCCGACUGGCUCU
rnacentral:RNase_P_RNA from 1 species